rnacentral:sRNA from 1 species
AUCUCAGAGGGAAACUGCCCAGAGAGGAUUGUGACCAUCACAGGCCCCACAGACGCCAUCUUCAAGGCCUUUGCCAUGAUCGCAUACAAGUUUGAGGAGGAUAUCAUCAACUCCAUGAGCAACAGCCCUGCCACCAGCAAGCCCCCAGUGACGCUGAGGCUGGUGGUACCUGCCAGCCAGUGCGGGUCCCUGAUCGGCAAAGGAGGCUCCAAGAUCAAGGAGAUCAGGGAGUCCACAGGUGCCCAGGUGCAGGUGGCUGGGGACAUGCUGCCCAACUCCACAGAGCGAGCGGUGACCAUCUCGGGGACCCCAGAUGCCAUCAUCCAGUGCGUCAAGCAGAUCUGUGUGGUCAUGCUGGAGUCCCCACCGAAAGGUGCCACCAUUCCCUACCGCCCAAAGCCCGCCUCCACCCCUGUCAUUUUUGCAGGUGGUCAGGCCUACACAAUCCAGGGACAGUAUGCCAUCCCUCACCCGGAUUUGACCAAGCUCCACCAGUUGGCCAUGCAGCAAACCCCCUUUCCUCCCCUCGGACAGACCAACCCCGCUUUCCCCGGAGAAAAGCUGCCUUUACACUCCUCCGAAGAAGCUCAAAAUCUGAUGGGCCAGUCAUCAGGUCUGGAUGCCAGCCCACCGGCCAGCACUCAUGAGCUCACCAUUCCCAAUGAUGCUGCAUAAUUGGACGCCAAGGGACCAAAAUCAAUGAAAUUCGACAGAUGUCUGGAGCUCAGAUCAAAAUCGCCAAUGCCACGGAAGGGUCCUCAGAGCGUCAGAUCACCAUCACGGGGACCCCGGCCAACAUCAGCCUUGCCCAGUAUCUCAUCAACGCCAG